UACGGGGGGGGCAAGCGUUGUUCGGAAUUACUGGGCGUAAAGGGCUCGUAGGCGGCCAACUAAGUCGGAUGUGAAAUCCCCAGGCUUAACCUGGGAACUGCAUCCGAUACUGGAUGGCUUGAAUCCGGGAGAGGGAUGCAGAAUUCCAGGUGUAGCGGUGAAAUGCGUAGAUAUCUGGAGGAAUACCGGUGGCGAAGGCGGCAUCCUGGACCGGCAUUGACGCUGAUGAGCGAAAGCUAGGAGAGCAAACGGG
rnacentral:rRNA from 1 species